rnacentral:rRNA from 1 species
CUAUUAUUUUAAGUGUAAAUAUUGUCUUACCUGGGUAGUUUUAGUUAAGGUCUUUAAACCCAAAGAAUUUGGCGGUAUUUCAUUCCAUUCAGAGGAACCUGUCUCGUAAUUGAUAGUACACGAUUUACUUUACUUAAUUUAUUUGUUUGUAUAUCUCCGUUAUCAGAAAAUCUUUUUGGAGUUAUAAUUUUCUUGUUUUUUAAUUAAAUUUUAUUUCAGGUCAAGGUGCAGCUUAUAGUUAAGAGAAUGAUGGGUUACAAUAAUUUUUUUUUAUUAUGGAUUUAAUUUUGUGAUAUUUUGAUGAAGGUGGAUUUGAUAGUAAUUUAAAUUACUUAAUUUAACUGAUAUUGGCUCUGAAGUGUGUACACAUCGCCCC